ACGAACGCUGGCGGCGUGCUUAACACAUGCCAGUCGAACGGAAAGGCCCCUUUGGGGGUACUCGAGUGGCGAACGGGUGAGUAACACGUGAGUAACCUGCCCUUGACUUCGGGAUAACUUCAGGAAACUGGGGCUAAUACCGGAUAGGAAUCCUUGCUGCAUGGUGGGGGUUGGAAAGCUUCGGCGGUUUUGGAUGGACUCGCGGCUUAUCAGCUUGUUGGUGGGGUAGUGGCUUACCAAGGCUUUGACGGGUAGCCGGCCUGAGAGGGCGACCGGCCACAUUGGGACUGAGAUACGGCCCAGACUCCUACGGGAGGCAGCAGAGGGGAAUAUUGCACAAUGGGCGGAAGCCUGAUGCAGCAACGCCGCGUGCGGGAUGACGGCCUUCGGGUUGUAAACCGCUUUCAGCAGGGGCGAAGCUUGUGGUGACGGUACCUGCAGAAGAAGCACCGGCUAACUACGUG
rnacentral:rRNA from 1 species